CGCGGGGUCUUUUGGGAAUUGCAGUUCCCGCUCCGCUCUGUCCCGUCACUGGACUUUUUGCCCUCUGUUGCGGGGUCCCUCAGGCGGCCACCCAGUGGGCACAAGCCCAGGCGGCGCUCUGACCCCGCGCUUCUUCCCUCUGCCUUUCAUUCCCAGCUGUCAACAUCCUGGAAGCUUUGAAGCUCAGCAAAGAAGAGAAAUCCAUUGAGAACAGUCUGUAAAGGUAAGUGUAUUUAUUACAUGGCCUUGACAAACAUUGCCUUUACAACAUUGAUUUUUCUUUUAU
rnacentral:lncRNA from 1 species